rfam:Calypte anna contig13461, whole genome shotgun sequence.
UGCAGGUGAUGUCUGUCUCACGAUGGUCUGCCAAGCCUGAGGCUGUGAGGAGAAGCCCUGAGGGCUCUGCUGAUGCACAGGG